UAGGGAAUCUUCCGCAAUGGGCGAAAGCCUGAUGGAGCAACGCCGCGUGUGUGAUGAAGGGUUUCGGCUCGUAAAACACUGUUGUAAGAGAAGAAUGACAUUGAGAGUAACUGUUCAAUGUGUGACGGUAUCUUACCAGAAAGGAACGGCUAAAUACGUGCCAG
rnacentral:rRNA from 1 species